UGUGAAGGAAAGGUGAAAAGGACCCCGGGAGGGGAGUGAAAGAGAACCUGAAACCUUGUGCCUACAAGCACAUAGAGCCCGUCAAAGGGUGAUAUGGUACUUUUUGUAGAACGGUCCGGCGAGCGAUUGUACGUUGCGAGCUUAAGGUCUUAAGGACUGGAGGCGUAGCGAGAGCGAGUCUAAACAGGGCGUUUAGUAGCGUGCAAUGGGCCCGAAACCGGGUGACCUACCCAUGAUCAGGCUGAAGUGAAAGUAAAAUUUCAUGGAGGGCCGAACCGACCUCCGUUGAAAAGGCGGCGGAUGAAUUGUGGGUAGCGGAGAAAUUCCAAUCGAACUCGGAGAUAGCUGGUUCUCCCCGAAAUAGCUUUAGGGCUAGCCUCAUGUUAGAUAUCCGGAGGUAAAGCACUGAAUGGCCUAGCGUCCGAGAGGAUAGCGAAGCCUAUCAAACUAAGAAUGCCGGAAUAUUGAUGCAUGGGAGUCAGACAGUGUGAGAUAAAUCUCAUUGUCAAAAGGGAAACAGCCCAGAUCUACAGCUAAGGUCCCAAAUUGUAUCUAAGUGGAAAACGAUGUGGAAAUACGCAGACAACCAGGAUGUUGGCUCAGAAGCAGCCACUCAUUUAAAGAGUGCGUAAUAGCUCACUGGUCGAGAGACGCUGCGCCGAAAAUGUCCGGGGCUCAAGCACGGAACCGAAGCUAUGGCAUGAUAGCAAUAUCAUGGGUAGGGGAGCGUUCUUAUAAGGAAGAAGCAUGACCGGAAGGACAUGUGGACAAAUAAGAAGUGAGAAUGCCGGUAUGAGUAUCGAAAAGAAAGGUGAGAAUCCUUUCCACCGAAAGCCCGAGGGUUCCUGAGCAACGAUCGUCGACUCAGGGUAAGUCGGGACCUAAGCCGAGGCGAGAAGCGUAGGCGAUGGACAACAGGUUGAAAUUCCUGUACCGGAUCAAGUCGAUCGAGCGAAGGAGCGACGCAGGAGGGCACAUGAUCGCGCGGCUGGAAGAGCGCGUCCAAGUGCGUAUGUUGCUGCAGAGGAAAACCCCUGCAGCUAAAAGCAGAGACAUGAAGGGGAGUUAAAGGAAACUUUGACGAACUCAUGGAUCCCACACUGCCAAGAAAAACUUCUAGCGAGACAAGAUCCGCCCGUACCGUAAACCGACACAGGUAGGCGGGGAGAGAAUCCUAAGGUGCGCGGGAAAACCCUCGUUAAGGAACUCGGCAAAUUGCAUCCGUAACCUAGGGAGAAGGAUGGCCCCCGGUCAGUGAAGAGCAGAAACGCUCAGAGCUAAAAGGGGCGGCAGAAAAGAGGCCCAAGCAACUGUUUACCAAAAACACAGGUGCCUGCGAAAGCGAAAGCUGAAGUAUAGGUGCUGACGCCUGCCCGGUGCCGGAAGGUUAAGGAGAGAAGUUAGCGAAAGCGAAGCAUCGAACUGAAGCCCCGGUGAACGGCGGCCGUAACUAUAACGGUCCUAAGGUAGCGAAAUUCCUUGUCGGGUAAG
rnacentral:rRNA from 1 species